rnacentral:sRNA from 1 species
UGACAGUGACCUUCUAUAAACUUUGCCUU